GUGGGCACAGGGGAACCUCAAGAGCUUCAACAAAUCUGAGUGCAAUGUGUUGCACCUGAAUUGCAGCAAUCCCUACUACCAGAACAAGGCCCUGACCUGCUGCAUGGCACCUCUCCACACUUCGUCUCUGGACCUCAGAGCCCCACUUGAGGCCCAGACAAGAGGGCUGCUCCUGCCUCCCCGCACUGCUGAGCCCCUACCAGUUUGUGGGCCUGGAGGGUGCUCCACAGCUCCCAGGACUACCAGCACCUGCUGCAGCACUCCACCUGACCCAGAAGCACAGAGCCAGGCAACAGAACCCAGCAUCCACCAUGGCAGCAGCACCAUGAGACCACUCCAGCUUGGCACUGGAUGGCAGCAGGACAGCGUGAGCGUGGUACCACCGUGGCAGCUCCUAGCAGUAGAGGCAUUUGCUUUCACGGUUUGCAUGAACAUUCUUCCAUUCCAGCAACACACAAGAUGCAAAAAGAAUUAGUAAAGUAAAAAUAAAGCAAUAAUGACAAAAC